AGCCCCGUAGUGUAGCGGUCAAGCACCCAGCCCUCUGGAGGCUGAGACCCAGGUUCGAAUCCUGGCGGGGCUA
rnacentral:tRNA from 2 species